rnacentral:rRNA from 1 species
AGGACGAACGCUGGCGGCGUGCUUAACACAUGCAAGUCGAGCGGUAAGGCCCUUCGGGGUACACGAGCGGCGAACGGGUGAGUAACACGUGGGUGAUCUGCCCUGCACUUCGGGAUAAGCCUGGGAAACUGGGUCUAAUACCGGAUAUGACCUCCUAUCGCAUGGUGGGUGGUGGAAAGAUUUAUCGGUGCAGGAUGGGCCCGCGGCCUAUCAGCUUGUUGGUGGGGUAAUGGCCUACCAAGGCGACGACGGGUAGCCGACCUGAGAGGGUGACCGGCCACACUGGGACUGAGACACGGCCCAGACUCCUACGGGAGGCAGCAGUGGGGAAUAUUGCACAAUGGGCGAAAGCCUGAUGCAGCGACGCCGCGUGAGGGACGACGGCCUUCGGGUUGUAAACCUCUUUCAGCAGGGACGAAGCGCAAGUGACGGUACUGCAGAAGAAGCACCGGCUAACUACGUGCCAGCAGCCGC